UUAUCCAGCAAUGGAUAACUGAGUGGCGAACGGGUGAGUAACACGUGGGUGACCUACCUUCGAGUGGGGGAUAACGUCCCGAAAGGGACGCUAAUACCGCAUAACAUCCUGCCUUUGAACAGGCGGUGAUCAAAGCCGGGGACCGUAAGGCCCGGCGCUUGAUGAGGGGCUCGCGUCUGAUUAGCUAGUUGGUGAGGUAACGGCCCACCAAGGCGACGAUCAGUAUCCGGCCUGAGAGGGCGGACGGACACACUGGGACUGAGACACGGCCCAGACUCCUACGGGAGGCAGCAGUGGGGAAUUGUUCACAAUGGGCGCAAGCCUGAUGACGCAACGCCGCGUGGAGGAUGAAGGUCUUCGGA
rnacentral:rRNA from 1 species